AACGAACGCUGGCGGCAUGCCUAACACAUGCAAGUCGAACGUGAUCCUGGGUUUCGGCCUGGGUGAACGUGGCAGACGGGUGAGUAACGCGUGGGAACCUGCCCUGUGGUAGGGAAUAACUGCGGGAAACUGCGGCUAAUACCCUAUGUGCCCUGAGGGGCAAAGAUUUAUCGCCAUGGGAGGGGCCCGCGUCGGAUUAGGUAGUUGGUGGGGUGACGGCCCACCAAGCCUUCGAUCCGUAGCUGGUCUGAGAGGAUGAUCAGCCACACUGGGACUGAGAUACGGCCCAGACUCCUACGGGAGGCAGCAGUGGGGAAUAUUGGACAAUGGGGGCAACCCUGAUCCAGCAAUGCCGCGUGGGUGAUGAAGGCCUUCGGGUUGUAAAGCCCUUUCGGCGGGGAAGAUGAUGACGGUACCCGCAGAAGAAGCCCCGGCUAACUUCGUGCCAGCCGCCGCCGUAAGAC
rnacentral:rRNA from 1 species